rnacentral:rRNA from 1 species
AGAAUCUUUCGCAAUGCCCGAAAGGGUGACGAAGCGACGCCGCGUGUGGGAAGAAGGCCUUCGGGUUGUAAACCACUGUCGGGAGUUAAGAAAUGUAAGGAUGUUAAUAGCGUCCUUACUUGACUAAGGCUCCGGAGGAAGCCACGGCUAACUCUGUGCCAGCAGCCGCGGUAAUACAGAGGCGGCAAGCGUUGUUCGGAAUUAUUGGGCGUAAAGAGCGCGUAGGCGGCCUUGAAAGUCAGUUGUGAAAGCCUUCUGCUUAACGGAGGAACAGCAUCUGAUACUACAGGGCUUGAGCGCGGGAGGGGAGAGUGGAACUUCUGGUGGAGCGGUGAAAUGCGUAGAUAUCAGAAGGAACGCCGGCGGCGAAAGCGGCUCUCUGGCCCGUAACUGACGCUGAGUGUGCGAAAGCUAGGGGAUCAAACGGGAUUAGAUACCCCGGUAGCCCUAGCCGUAAACGAUGGGCACUAAGUAGAGGGGUUUUGAUUAUCUCUCUGCCGGAGCUAACGCAUUAAGUGCCCCGCCUGGGAAGUACGGCCGCAAGGCUAAAACUCAAAAGAAUUGACGGGGGCUCGCACAAGCGGUGGAGCAUGUGGCUUAAUUCGAUGCAACGCGAAGAACCUUACCGGGGUUUGACAUGGUAGAAGUAGGAACCAGAAAUGGUAACGAACGGUAUCCAGUCCGUAACUAUCACAGGUGUUGCAUGGCUG